ensembl:lncRNA
UUAAAACAGAGGGGAAAGAAGGGGCAUUUGUUAUGGCAUUUGUUAUUUGUUACGGCAUUUGUUUUCCCAAGAAAACAUUUAUUGGGAAGUGGUUACAGCACCAAACCUGCUGGAGUUCAAGAAAAAUUUGGACAGUGCUCUCAGAAAUAUGGUUUGAUUUUUGGGUAUUUCUGUAUGGAAGCAAGAGGUGGACUUUAUGUUUCUUAUGGGUCUCUUUCAUCUCAGGAUGUUCUAUUAUUUUCUGAUUAUGUGUGAUGAAGCCUUGCUUUCCUGGAAAUAACUGAACAACUUCCUGCUGAUGGGAGGAAGAAAGCCAGUAUGGUUAAAAAGCAUUUUCCAAGGCAAGAAUUGAAAAAAAUGG